CUAACAUUAAACAAGCUUCGUCUUGCUUCUCAAAGCUUUGAUGGUUUAGCCAAAGUCUGUACGAGUCUUUGGUUGACGAACAGAAUCAACAAAAUGGCCCUGCCAACAUUGGUGCUGGAGAUGCACCACGUGAUCGCCGUCAGAGGAAAGGAAUUGCGACUCCUGCUAUCCAGAACAACAACUUCGAGAUUAAGAGUGGUCUCAUCUCGAUGAUUCAGGAGAACAAAUUCCAUGGUCUGCCAAUGGAGGAUCCACUCGACCACCUUGAUGAAUUCGAUAGGCUCUACAACCUGACAAAGAUCAAUGGUGUCAGUGAAGAUGGAUUCAAGCUCCGUUUGUUCCCCUUCUCCUUGGGCGACAAAGCACACAUCUGGGAGAAGAAUUUGCCCCAUGACUCAAUCACCACCUGGGAUGAUUGCAAGAAGGCUUUUCUAUCAAAGUUCUUCUCCAAUGCCAGAACUGCAAGACUCAGAAAUGAGAUCUCUGGUUUCUCACAGAAGACUAGUGAAAGCUUCUGUGAAGCAUGGGAGCGUUUCAAGGGUUACACCAACCAAUGCCCUCAUCAUGGCUUUACUAAAGCCUCUCUGCUCAGCACUCUUUACAGAGGAGUCCUACCAUGCAUCAUAAUGCUUCUGGAUGCUGCCAGCAAUGGGAAUUUCCAGAACAAGGAUGUUGAAGAAGGCUGGGAAUUGGUUGAGAACUUAGCUCAAUCAUAUGGUAAUUACAACGAAGACUGCGAUAGGACCGUCAGAGGCACAGCUGACUCUAAUGACAAACACAGGAAGGAGAUCAAAGCGCUGAAUGACAAGCUGGACAGGAUUUUUCUUAGCCAGCAGAAGCAUGUGCACUUCCUUGUUGAUGACAAGCAGUUUCAAGUCCAAGAUGGGGAGGGUAACCAGUUGGAAGAAGUCAGCUACAUCAACAACAACCAGGGUGGCUACAAAGGAUACAACAACUUCAAAACCAACAACCCCAACCUCUCCUACCGCAGCACCAACUGAUAAUAGGUUUUUAGUCAAUUAUCCUAAAACACCAAUCAUGUCGUUGUAGUAUUUUAGGUUGUCAAUCCAAAUGGGUGUGAUGCUAACAAUCAAGAUGUGAUCAGAAGUCACUAAGUCAAGCCAAGCAAUAACAGGUUUUGGUGUGUUCUAGCAGUUCUAAGUGAACAUGCAGAAAAGAGAAAUUCAAGCAGAAACAAUAAAACACUCGACCAACACAGCUCUUUGCAGAGCACUGGGUGAGGUCGAGUGACAGGUCGAGUAACAGACAGAAAAUAAAACACAGAUACUCGACUGCACAGUCUGUUGCCAGACAACUGGGUGGUCGAGUAUGAGGUCGAGUAAUAGUAAAGAACUGCAGAAACUAAGCAACAGAUGACAGGACGCAGUAAACAGCAGUAGAGUAAGCAAUAAAAUUAUUCAGAUAAAGAAUUCCCGAGGAUAGGGUAAUUGAGUAGUUUCGUUUUCUCAUUUUACAGGUGAUUGACAUGCUCAAUAAAUUAACCCUAGACAACAAGUUCACUAACCAAAUCUAAGUGCCACCGCAACAGAGACCCUCAAGUUAACCUAGUCCCAGACUCAAUCACCAUUGACGAGAGCUAACCUAACAUGCAUUACGAAUCAACAAGUUAAAGCUAAAACGCUCCCUGUAACCAAUACCUUGGUACAGGGUCACGAAUCUCUGGAAUUAGUGGUUCAGACAUUUAAUCGAACACCUUUUGGGCGCGGAAAUGUCUGGGCUCAAAUUCCAGUUGAUCAGAAAGCAAUAGGCAUUAAGAACAACUAAUCCAAAAGGGAUCUAUCAAUCAAUACUCAAUCACCUAGCAUACUGAGAAUCCUACACUACUCUAACCCAUCCUCAGAAACCUAUUCACUACUCAGACAUCAUAAUAGAAAGCAUAAACAUUGAACAAGUUGAAAACAUGAUAACAACAGUGUAACAGCAGGAUGAUAACAGAACGAACAACAGUAAACGAAAUCAAGAACAAAUGCUGAAUACUGAAUACUAAAUAGAUAAAGAGAAAUCCGGAUUACAAAAGGUCUAUAACACAAAGUCUGCGGAAUAAAACUAGAUAAAAACUUCUAGUGUGCAAAAAUGUGAAGUAUAUGCUACUUAUAGCCAAAUAUUCUGAAACCUUAAUACUCAAAACGACGAAGUAUUGGGACGGAUUAAGAACUGUACUCGACCCAUGUGGUCGAGUGGGAGGUCGAGUGAAUAGCUGGACUCUUCUUUUCUUCCUUGUGCUCGAGUGUCUGGUUGAGUGCAGAAUGAAGAAGGCUCUGAAGCUUGUCAUCGAGUAUGCAGUCGAGUGGUGGUGAUGGUGAUACUCGACUUCCAGGUAGAGUGAUGAGGUCGAGUAGUGGUCUGGCAAUGAAGGUGAAGACACUCGACCUCGGGGUCGAGUGAUGCGAUCGAGUGAUGGUCAGGAGUGAUAUGUCUAUAAUUUGCAUGUUUUCAGUAUCCAUUUAUCAUCGCUUUGAGUCCAGUUUCGUAUCAUUCAUCACUAUUUUAUAUCAUUUCUCAUCAUUCUUGCAUACUUUGCAUGAUUAGGAUAGCUUUGCAUACAUAUUGCAUUUCUGAGUUGUUUUCAGGUGAUUUGGAAGAAACGAGCCAGAACCAGAAGACAUACUCGACCCCCAGGUCGAGUGACUUUGGAGCCAUUCUUCCCACAUACUCGACCCCCAGGUCGAGUGACUUUGGAGCCAUUCUUCCCACCUACUCGACCACCUGGUCGAGUACCCUCAGCUAAGGCUACUCGAUGACACUACUCGACCCCCUGGUCGAGUAUCACUUCGCGCCACCAUCACCAUCACUCGACCAUUCACUCUACCAAUUUACUCGACCCUCUGGUCGAGUAUCAUCACUCACCACCAUCACCAUCAGUUGACCGGACACUCGAUCACGUCUUCAUAGUCUACUCAAAUCCACACUCAACCAGACAAGCUGAGCACAAGGAAGAGAAGAGGAGAAGACAAAGUGUUUGGAAGCGGCCUGGACCUCCAUCGGAUCACGAAGCCCAUCGCGGCCUAUUAUCUUUCUAUGGGCCGGACGAUUAGGUUAUUGGCCCGUCUACUAUCAUUUUAUUUCGUAUUUUAUAAAUAGAUGUCUUAGGGUUCUGUCCAGAGACAUCCAGUCGACAUUGAGUUUUUGCUUCAGUUUUAUUUUCUUAUUUACUCUACUGCGCCGCUUUUGCUUCUGCAACCUGUAAUUCGAGAUUUUCCCAAGUUAUUCAGAUUCCGCAUUUGAUUUCAUCUGUCAUCUUGUUUCUCUACUCUUUAUCUCUCUACUUAUGCAAUAUUAUCGUUUAUCUGCGUUUAUGUUUGUGAGCAUGUUGUCUGAGUAGUGACUUAGAAUUCUUAAGGAUGGGAUAGAGUAGUUGUGGAAUCCGUAGUCUGUAGAAUGGUUAAGUUCUAGAAUUGAUUGAAUCCCUUUAGGACUAGUUGCGUUUACUGCUUAUUUGUUUCUGAUCAACUGGAAUUCGAUCCCAAGCAUUCCCGCACCCAAAAGGUGUUCAAUGGAAUGCUUGAUCCACUAGUUCCUGAGAUAUGCGUCUCUAUCCCAAAGGAUUAGCCGUUUAGAGCAUUUAUUGACUUUAUCAGUCUGUUCUUAUUGCCUGCAUAGUUAGAUUCCGUUAAUGGAAAUUAGUCUGGGCUAGCUUUGCUUGAGGAUUUCUAUCACGGGAGUGAAUUGAUCUGUUGUUGAACCUGUUGUCUAGGGAUAGCUUGAUUGCGCUUGUUAACCAUUCGAAUAGGCUAGGAUACCACUCUACUCGAUUACCCCAUCCUUAAGAAUUUCUUGUCUAUCUGAUUUCUCUGUUUUAUCGUUAUCGCUUAUUCGUUCUCAUUGCCUGUUUCUUCGUUUUUACAAUUACUCGACCAACUUACUCGACCACACCCAUUAACUGGCAACAGACUGUGCAGUCGAGUACAGUUGUCUCAUUUCCUGUCUGUUACUCGACCAGUAUACUCGACCACACACAGUGUCUUGCAACAGACUGUGCAGUCGAGUAUAGCUGUUUCAUAUUCUGCCUGUUACUCGACCACAUCCUACUUCUGGUAUCAGCCUGUUGUGGUCAAGUGAUUUUAGUGAUUCUGUUAUUGUUUCUGUUUUCUGCAUGUUCACAUAGGACUGUUAGAAACCCCAAAACUGUUAUUGCUUGGCUUGACUUAGUGACUUCUGAUCACAUCUCAUCUGUUUGCAUCACACUCAUUUGGAUUGACACCUAAAAUACUACAACGACAUGAUAGUGUUUUAGGAUUAAUUGAUCAUAAAAACCUAUUAUCAAGGAGAUACUCGACUUCCAGGUUGAGUGAUGAGGUCGAGUAGUGGUCUGGUAAUGAAAGUGAAGACACUCGACUUCGGGGUCGAGUGAUGUGAUCGAGUGAUGGUCAGGUGAUGGAGAUGAAGAUGCUCGACCUCGUGGUCGAGUGGUGAGGUGAAGUUGUGAUGUCUUCUACUCGACCUGGGGGUCGAGUGGUCUCUUGAGAUCUUGAAGCUCCUACUCUACCUCUGGGUCGAGUGGUUUUGUCAUGAUCAGGGCCGCUUCUUCCAGAUAGCUCUUCAACAGCUCCAAAUCACCUGAAAUCAACGCAAAUAUGCAACAUGCAUGUAAAUCUAUCCUAAACAUAUAAAGUGAUGAUAAAUGAUGAGAAAUAGUAUGAAAUAGUGAUGAUAUGAUGCUAAAGUGAUGACAAAUGGAUGCUCAAAACAUGCAAAAAUACACACUUAUCACCAACGUUGCUAAUCCUCAAGAUCAAGUGUAUCCUCCACAGCAACAACAACGUUAGAACAAACCUUUUGUUCCUUACAGCCAAGGUUUCGUUCAUAAGCAGCAAUUCCAGGGGAACUACCAGCCGCCACCACCACCUGGGUUUGCACCUCAGCAAAACCAAGGUCCUGCUGCUCCUGAUGCUGAAAUGAAACAGA
rnacentral:sRNA from 1 species